AAAUCUUCAGGCCAUGCUUUCAUUUUACCUUCUCUCAUUGAUCUCCUUAUUUUUUCUAAACAUCAGAGGAUCUCUGGCGGGAUAUGUUUGGAUGACACUAUAAUCAUUAUCUUUGGUUGUAGAUCAAGCCCAGCAUUGUACAACAUCUCUCAGUCCAAUUGAGCAGAACAGCAGCAUUGUUUAUCAACAAGUCAACCCAUUAGAUUGGAUUUUGUGCGGCUAUAAAUUGGUA
rnacentral:lncRNA from 1 species